GCAGCCGCGGGCAAGGGGGACGCGCCACGUCGGCGCGCGGCGGCCGCGCCCCCUCCCGGCGACCGCAGUUGCUGCCUCCGUGCGCGGCCCCGCCGCCCCCCGCGCGCGCCUCCCUCGCAGCCCGGCGCUCAAGCUCGCGCGCGCCUCCCUCCCGGCUCGCGAGCCCGCCGUGGUCGCCGUCGCCGUCGCAGCCCCUCGAACGCGCGGUCGCAUCAUGUCUUCGCCUCCCGAGGGGAAGCUAGAGACGAAAGCCGGACAUCCGCCAGCCGUGAAAGCGGGCGGGAUGCGCAUCGUGCAGAAGCACCCGCAUUCGGGAGACACCAAAGAAGAGAAAGACAAGGACGACCAGGGAUGGGAGAGUCCCAGCCCGCCCAAACCGACCGUGUUCAUCUCCGGUGUGAUCGCCCGGGGCGACAAAGACUUCCCACCGGCGGCCGCCCAGGUGGCUCACCAGAAGCCCCACGCCUCCAUGGACAAGCACCCCUCCCCGAGAACCCAGCACAUCCAGCAGCCUCGCAAGUGAACGGCGAGGCCCCAGCGCCCCCACCAGCAGUGCCUCGAUAUCCCGACCUUUGGUAUCUCCCCGGCAGAGACAAUUGGCGUUUUCUUCAACCCGCUGCUCCCCUGGGAAAUCUAAGACAAAGUGAAGCGCCCCGUCCUUUGCCUUAAAUUUCCGUGUCUGACACUAGAAAGGAUCUGACCCCAAACCUCGUUUGCAGGGAGUCCUGGUUGAUGUCGUUUGAGGGUCAGCGUGCCCCUGUACGUGCCUUUAGCAGAACUUGCCGAGACCUAAGUGAAGUGUUCAAAGCCCAGCUUUACUUGUGCGUCAGCGGUCAUCGAGGGCACAGAUUUGGGAGGAGGAGAUUAAGGCUGGAGGGAAAGUGGACCAUUUCAUGCUUUUUGGUAACAGGACAACGCGUCUUAACACCUAGGGGACGCAUUUCAGAAUCACAGGGGCGCGUUUCAGAAAGGCAGGGCAAGGCAGGCUUUUGAAAGUGCCAGCAGCGUUACCGAAUUCUCCUUCCCGUGUGACAGGGGGUCGCUGUAGGGGGACACCAGGUACUCCUGGGAAAAGCCAAAGAGAAGCUCCCGUCUUUGAAAUGGCUUUUUAAUCCCAGGAGCCACCUUCCGGAGAAGGAGAACGUAGACCGUGUGUGCAAAGGGAACAGCUCCAGAAUGAGAUCUCCGUGUGCGUCCCAAACCCGGCACGGCCCCGAUCCAGACCGCCUCCAGCAGGGCAAUCAGGCAAACCUGCGUUUCUCGUAAUCCCCUCUAGAGCCGCUUCUGAGUUCUAGAAGUGACCACCGACCGGUGGAGGAGUAGACGUAAAGCUAGUUCUGGAACACCAAAGCAAGAGCGUUGUGGAAAGAGCAGAUGAAACUCUGCCUAGAAGAAGGUAGAAACACCGUGUUCCACGUGAGCUAGAAAACACCUGUCAAUCCCACUGCCCUGAGUUUCUUCUGCCCGCGUGCGGUUUGCCGGGCCCGUUCACCUGCUCAAGUCAGAUGGUCCUACUCUUGCAGCCCGUCCUUCCUGCCCGGAGCGGCCCUGGACGGCUCUCGGGCUCACGGCGGUCGAGUGCUUUAUUGUCCCGAAAAGCCAAAGGGCCGGUCCACUCGGAUGCUGUGCCGUCCGGGCCCUGACCGGCCACCGCCGACGGCCGUGUUUGCCGGAGGCCAGCGCCGCCGGCCGCCCGAUGUCCUUACCAAAGCCGCACCUGCCAGCUGGAAACCGUGACCUCAUCAGACCUCAUCAGACCCGCCCCUCGCCCUUCCCCGAGGGGGAGCCCAACGCCGCUUCACCUUCUAAAGGGGCUCCCCGACGCUUUCACUAGAAUCAGGCACAUGCCCAUGUCAUGGACACUUUCGCAGAUUGUUGCCCAGACACAAAGUCGACCCUCUGGACAGCUGACGCCUUGAGUCUCAUCAGCUACUUUAAAAUGUCUGAAAAUGGGAAAGCUUAAUGCAGCUGAUUAAAACAUAUUACUUGAGCCCAGCAGCUGGCCCUAUGCUAGGGAGGCCCUUCGGGACAGACUUAAGAAGGAAUUAGUAGUAAGCCCAGGGGUGGCUGUGAGCAGCUUUUGGUGAAAAAGACAUUCACCUUUCUCCAGAGGUCUCCGGGAACCCUGUGCAGAGGAGGAGAGCACAACUGUCAGACCCUGGGAUUGAACUGGGAGGGUCCCCUGAAGUUUCCCCACCCGGGGCCUCCUCCUCCCUCAGGUGAGGACCUGAGUGUCAGGCAUCUGACAGGCCAGAGUUGGCAUCUCCCAACCAGCCUGGCCUUUCCUUAGCCCUCGUGUCCCCUCUGGAGCCGCUGUUUGCAUUAGCACAUUCGUCUUAAGAGACUGGGAACAAAAUGAGGGUCUCACGUAUUUAGCGUCACCGGGCAGGGAGUCGGGCUCUGUCAAACGCUGGUGGACAGAAAUGCAAAACACACAACCAACAUGGAACAGAAUUGUCCCCAGGCCUUUAUUAUUAACAUCAUUGUGACCUACAUUUUCCCCACAUCGUUGCCUAACAAAGUACCACAAACUGGCUGGCUUGAAGCAAUGGAAAUCUAGUAUUCCAUGGUUCUGGAGUCUAGAAGCUUGAAAUCGAGAUGUCAGCCCAGCCCUGCUCCCUGGGAAGGCCCUGGGUGAUGCUCUUUCCCUUUCUGAUGGCUGCUGGCAUUCCUUGGCGUUCGUUGCUGGUUCAGCAUAAAUCCAAUCUCUGUCCCCGUCGUCAUGUGGACACCUUUUCUGUGUGCAUCUGUGUCCACAUUUCCUUCUUCUGAGGACACCAUCAUUGAACAAUGUCCUUAGACACUUGAACCACUGAAUGAUUCCCCCUAAUCAGUAUGACCUCAUGGUAAGGAAUUUGAUCUGCAAAGACCCUAUUUCCAAAUAAGGCCGUGUUCACAGAUGCUGGGGGGUAGGACUUGAACAUAGCUUUUGGGGAAUCAUAGUUCAACCCAGAGCAUCAACUGUGUGCUGAAAAGCCAGAAACCUCCCUCCCGGCUCACACUGUUUGACUAACUAUUUUGUAAAUCGCUUUUUUGAAUAAACUUAGCCGUAAGAAUGCUUUA